rnacentral:tRNA from 1 species
UCCCCGUUAGCUCAAUGGCAGAGCAUUCGGCUGUUAACCGAAGGGUUGGUAGUUCGAGUCUACCACGGGGAGCCA